rnacentral:rRNA from 1 species
AUUGAACUCUGGCGGCAGGCCUAACACAUGCAAGUCGAACGAGUGGCGGACGGGUGAGUAAUGUCUGGGAAACUGCCUGAUGGAGGGGGAUAACUACUGGAAACGGUAGCUAAUACCGCAUACCAUCGGAUGUGCACAGAUGGGAUUAGCGAGUAGGUGGGGGAAAGGCCUACCAAGGCGACGAUCCGUAACUGGUCUGAGAGGCUGAACAGUCACACUGGAACUGAGACAGGGUCCAGACUCCUACGGGAGGCAGCAGUGGGGAAUAUUGGACAAUGGGCGAAAGCCUGAUCCAGCCAUGCCGCGUGUAUGAAGAAGGUCUUCGGAUUGUAAAGCACUGUAAGGUGGGAGGCGUUACCAACAGAAUAAGCACCGGCUAACUUCGUGCCAGCAGCCGCGGGAAUUC